rnacentral:rRNA from 1 species
AUGGCUGCGCUGAUGCGUAAAGGGGUUGUGGCCGACUCGUCGAGGGACCGCGGCAGCGGAGGCCAGCUACGGUACCUUGAGACCGGCAGAAACGGAGGUGAGACCGUAGGAGCCUCUCGGAGGCGCAGUCACAUGAGGUCGGCUCGCAGGCGGAGGCAGCGCUCGAACGACGACUUGGAAACAACAGGCGACUCGGCAGGGUCGGAGAAGAGGAUAGCGACGUCUCGGAGGCAAGGCGGCUCAAGGCCACUCCGGCGAAGGCGGCUCGAAGCAGGAGAGCGAGCUAGCGGAGGCCCUCAGAGCAGGCGAACAGGCAGGCGAAGAUGGAACAAAGUUGUAGCAGAACUGGGCAGUUGCAACGGCGACUCGGAGAAGAUUCUUCCAAAGCAGGCUUUUCUUCAUCUAGAGGUUUGCAAGCUUCUCGAAACCCUGGGAAAGAUCCCUCCAAGAACUCAACACCACCGUACGGAGGCCCCAUGGUCGGCGUCAACUGUCGUGGGUUAA